UCCGGAUUGGUGUAGGGGUUAACAUUGCCGCCUCUCAUCCGUUACGUAAGCCUUAGCUUUCGUAAUAUGGUCGCGGCAGCCCGGGGUUCGAUUCCCCGAUCCGGAA